ensembl:lncRNA
CAGGUCAUGACAUCACUACGGUACUUUCCACUUCAAAGCCUUUCUCGGCGCCGCUGGCUGAAAGCUGAAGCGCAACAUCGCACACAGCCGACUCCCAUCAGCAUAGAGUGCGAGCGUCCCGUGGUGCAUGCUACCAUCUGUCCAUCAGCGGAUUCCCUUUGAGUGUAGGAUACCCAGUGGUGUUCCAGAGGUCUGGACCCACAUUAGCACAACAUCAAACAGGCUCCCUCCUACACAUGCAGCACUGCAUGUGCUCCUGCUUAUCUUAUCUGAGACGGAAGGAGGAAGUCACCCCUCUGGUCCAUCCCUGUAGAAUUAGGCUUGACCUUUCUCAUGCAAAGCUGAGAGAACUUGGAGAGGUUUUCUGCCCCGGCGACUGGGAUUGUGUCCAGGGAUACUGCUUUAAUGGGGCACCUGCUGUGCUAUUGUUAAAAAUAAAGAUAG